UACGUGGGGGGCAAGCGUUGUUCGGAAUUACUGGGCGUAAAGGGCUGGUAGGCGGCCAACUAAGUCGGAUGUGAAAUCCCCAGGCUUAACCUGGGAACUGCAUCCGAUACUGGUCGGCUUGAAUCCGGGAGAGGGAUGCAGAAUUCCAGGUGUAGCGGUGAAAUGCGUAGAUAUCUGGAGGAAUACCGGUGGCGAAGGCGGCAUCCUGGACCGGCAUUGACGCUGAACAGCGAAAGCUAGGGGAGCAAACGGG
rnacentral:rRNA from 1 species